GCCAGACUCCUACGGGAGGCAGCAGUGAGGAAUAUUGGUCAAUGGUCGGGAGACUGAACCAGCCAAGCCGCGUGAGGGAUGAAGGUACAGAGUAUCGUAAACCUCUUUUGUCAAGGAACAAAGGCGGGGACGUGUCCCCGGAUGAGUGUACCUGAAGAAAAAGCAUCGGCUAACUCCGUGCCAGCAGCCGCGGUAAUACGGAGGAUGCGAGCGUUAUCCGGAUUUAUUGGGUUUAAAGGGUGCGCAGGCGGAAUGUCAAGUCAGCGGUAAAAUUUCGGGGCUCAACUCCGUCGUGCCGUUGAAACUGGCGUUCUUGAGUGAGCGAGAAGUAUGCGGAAUGCGCGGUGUAGCGGUGAAAUGCAUAGAUAUCGCGCAGAACUCCGAUUGCGAAGGCAGCAUGCCGGCUCCACACUGACGCUGAGGCACGAAAGCGUGGGUAUCGAACAGGAUUAGAUACCCGAGUAC
rnacentral:rRNA from 1 species